AACAAACCAAAUUUCUUGCUGGCCUUUGAGCGUGAUGAGUAACCAGCGCUGUUCUCUUCUUUUCCUCCUUCCAAAGCCGAGAAUCAUAGAGAUACACCACAACACAAGAGCUGCAUUCCUUCCUUCUUCCUUCUAUCAUUCACAGACUUGAAGUCAGUCUCACCAGCCCCCUCACAGCCGUAAGCCCUCUAAGAGGCACACCACAAACCGUGCUAGUAUCCUCUCCCCCACUAUCCUUCCCACUAAACGUGAGUCCACAAGGAGACAGCAAAGCACCAAGCACACUUAUCCCCUUCUUCUCCUUUCUUGAUCGGCAGUACCUAUCCAUCAAGGAGUGUUGAUCGAAUCUCUCUUUCCCUGCAUGUAGCUGGAACCGGUCCUUUGGGCAAAGGAAAGAUGAAGGACUGCUCUUUGGUCGAUGGUGUUUUCUGUGCGCUAGUGGGUUGGUGCGCAAGGUCCUAAAUAAUAGGACUGUUUGACGAUAUUUGGAAUGCUUUGAUUCGAAAGCUAAAGUAUCAGCCACCAUCAAGGAAGGCUGGACCUGCUGUCUUUGUGGAGCACAAGGGGUUGUGGUGUUGUUCCUUAUUUCACUGUAUUCCUAGUGUGCAUGUAAGAGGUGCGAAAUUUCCUUGAGACAUUGGACUGUUUCACUGCUUACUGGUAAAUUAAGGUUUCAACGUACGAGGAGGACAUAAAAGCUUUUGAGGACUUGGAUAUUUGUUGUUGGCUUCUACUGUUUUGGGCAUGCUGCUAUUGAUGUGCUAUUUUAUGGAUGACUGUAUGAAAUUGAGAAGUUUUUAUUACUGUGAACUAUGAUUUUAUUAUUGCAUUACGAUUUUAUGACCAGCAAGUAUUUUGGAAACAGAUGUUGAAACGUUUGCGAAAAGGAUUUUGACAUGUUAUCUAAAUGCUGAGUUUUGAAAAGUCUUUGCGAGCACUUUGUAAGUUGUCGUACUGGGGCUACGGACCUCCGAUUUUCUUAUAAUUUAUAUGCACGCGUAGCCCAGGUGUCUAAUUUCAUUAUAUAUAAACCUUGCAAAGAAAUUUUGAAAGCUCGAUUUAUUAUGAAUUUUACCAGCCAGGACGUUUGUGAUAUUUUCACUGUUUUAUCUCUUAUUUUGCUAGUUAUGUUUCGAGGGGCAAACGAACUUCAAAUCACUAUUAUUUUAUAUGAACGUAAAGCCUCAGAUGUCUAGUUUCCAGAUUACAAAGAAUAUUUUUUGAAUCGUUGAACUGGAUUUUAUACGAAUUUUUAAAGACAGCAAGGUCUGUCAGGAAAUUUAUAUUUUUAGUAAGUUGAAGAAAUUUUGCGUACUUUGAUUUUUGUAAUUAACCAGAUCCCCUUUUUAGUUUUAAUUGGCAAUGUGAAAGCAAAUUUUUUUCAGCCUCUAAAAUACUAUUAAAGAACUCUAAUUCCGCUUAGCAAACAACUCUCUUGGAGGCCUACAAGAGAGGGUGUUACAGAGAAGCAUGAAAAUGUGUGUGAAUGUGUGUGGAUGUGUUAUGUAAGGUUCGGCUAUGUUGAGUUAAUUUGAUUGGAAUUGAAGUUAAUUGAUAACUAAACCAUAAAAGCUUAAAUAAAGAGUGUUUAAGUGAAUUUGAAGGUUCAAGUCUCUAAUUGUUAAUGUGUGGAUGUAGGUUUAACUUAAUAUCAAGUUUAAAGAUAGGUUGACGUGUGGCAUGGGCAUGAAUUGUUAAGAGUGAAUUUGUAAAGAGUGUAAUGUGGAUUGCACAAGACAUGAAUCUUGUGUUACAAGUUGUUGUGUGUAUGUCAAAUCUAAUGUACAUCUAGGUACAAGUGUGAAUCAGGAGAUACAGUGAUUCCUUACUGAUGUUCAGAGGAUUUGACUUGAUUACUUGUUGUACAAGUAACCUUGCUAGGAGCUACUAGAGGUAAGCUCUUGGUUUAGGAGGAUUAUUCCUCUUUGUUUGUUCUACCAGGAUUUCAUUAUCUUGGAGGUAUAUAUGUAUGUUUGUGUUUUGUGAUAGUCAGAUAUAUAGUGUAGUUGCAUUCAUAUAGAUGAUAACAUGAUUUGAUGUGAUUUGAGUUGUGAAAUGUUGGUUCUUGUACAAUGAACAUGUUCGGAUAGGCCAUGAGUGCACCUGAAAUGGUUGACUCUGGUUGCUCUUGAGAUUUAAUUUCGGGAAUUAUCUGUGCAGACGAGUAGUUUGAUAUUUUUUUGUGAUUAUAUGAUGUAUGUUAUACUAUAUAUCUGACCUUUCAUGAGUUUACGAGAUUUAUUUCUCACCCUGUGUUGUGGGGAUAUAUUUUAGGUAUUCCAGCAGUUGUUGAUCAGUCAUCUCAGGGCAAGAGGCCUGUGAAGAGUGGCUAGUAUUGGUUUUUGUAUUUUGAUCUGUGUGUGUGUGUGUGUAUAUAUAAUAUAUAUAUGCUUUUUGAGGUAUGUGUAGUUUCCAUGCAUGUUAUCAGCUGUUAUCUUUUUGAAAGGCGUGUUUAGCCUUUAAUUUAACUGUAAUAAAGUUAUGAAUUUCUGUAUGUAUUUUUGUAUUGGCUUUAAGCCAUAGUUCAGUAUACGAGGUAUUUCAGUAUGUAUUGUAUCUGUUGCAAAUUAAGAUUCGCGGGUUUAAUUGUGUUCAAGACAGACACUGAGUCAGAUUCUGUGUGAAUUCAUGGAUGGAUUCUAAGUCUGAUAGUGUUUAUUUAUGUUUUGUGUAGAUUUUCUGUAUUACACGAAUUUGGAUUUAUCCGAAUUACAGCCGUUAUGC